UGGGUUUGAUUCCAAUUCCUGAAAUUGUUUGGUAGUGUUCCUAGCUCUGGACCAGAAGGUGUGGAUUCAUGUCCUGCCUGCUGCAGAGGUAUGUCUCAGCAUGUCAUAACAGGCUGAUGAACAAACACAGUGAAUAAUGUUACAGCUUUAUGGGUAUUGCCGAGUGGUGCUCGUGUCCCUACCUCCGGGCACAAAGGUCUAGGUGUAAAUCCCACAGAAGUGUCUCCUAAUAUAUCUGAACAAACUGAUGAAACUGGUUUUAGAAUUGUGACUUGAUGGAGAAAGAACAGGUGUCAGUGUUGAAUUUCAGCAUUUCGGCCCAGGAUUAUUGAAAGUACAGCCAUUCGUGUUGAUUGGAGUCACAUUUCGCAGCAGGAAAGGUUUAUAAAAUCAGAAUGGUCAUGGAUAGGGUUUGUAGUCAAGGCUUUUCCCCAGGUUAGGGGCGUCCAAAACUAGAGGAUAUUGGUGGAAAGUGAGAGGGGAAAGGUUUUGAAGAGGCCUAAGGGGCACCUUUUCACACAGAGGGUGGUGUGCAUAUGGAAUGAGCUGCCAGAGGAAGUGGUGGAGGCUGGUACAACUACAUCAUGUAAAAGGCAUCUGGAUGCUGACAGACCUGGUGAGUUUUUCCAGCAAUUUCUGUAUUUGUUAAAACAAAGAAUUCAUUUUAACACAGGUAUCUGUGUUAGCUGGCUGGAUACAGAAUUGGCUGGCCAACAGAAGACAGUGAGUGGUAGUGGAAGGAAAAUAUUCUGCCCGGAAGUCUGUGGGACAUAUAAACAUAUCUUCAAAUCAACCGAGACCAUUUUCUGCUCAGGGUAUGGCUCUGUGUAUAACAGCAGCAAUGAUGCACCGACAUGGAACAGGGAAUGUGAUGGAGACAUCGUUUGGACAAUGUACAAGGAGACCUCACAUGGUCCAGUAUUGGGAGAGAAUGACAUUACUGUGUGAUUCAACUCAGAGAGGGAGACAAUGUCAUCUGCCAGAGAAGAAACAGCCUAUUGCACUCUCUCUCCUUCAUUAUUCCCCAUCACAGUAACGUGUACGAGCUAAAACAAAAGUCUACUGUCAUUGUUACCAUUCUUAUUUUUAUAGAAUCCUGCAGUGUGGAAACAAGCCCUUCGGCCCAACAAGUCCAUACCAACCUUCCAAAGAGUAACCUUCCCAUGCCCUUACAGUUACCACUGACUAGUGCACCUAAAGUAGAAAUCGCUGAACACUGUGGACUAUUUGACCAACCCACUUGAAUUAUACAGCUUUGGGCUGUGGGAGGAAAUGGGAGCGCCCAUCAGAAGCUCACGCAGACAAGGGGAGAAGAUGCAAACUCCACCCAGAUAGUCGCCCGAGGCUGGAAUUGAACUCAUAUCCCUGAUGCUGUGAUGGAACACUGCGAACUCCUGAGCCACUGUGCUAACCUGGAACCUCCUGACUGCCGAAUGCAAAGGGAAUUCAGCCCAAUUCCAACUGUGCCAGGAUAAAGUCCCAUUGCUAGCAGCUGUGUGAGUACAAUAUCUUCAGAAGCAGAAUAACAUUUUGGACAAUCUCUCAAUUUUUCCUUUUGUCAUUAGUUACACAAAUAUUUGGACAAGGUUCUUUAACGUGAAAUUGCAGAAAGUCUGUGUGUGUGUGUGUGUGUGUGUGUGUGUGUUUUUAGAACGGGAAAUAUCGAGUCUUUGUUUGCAAUAUCCAGUUUGCCAUUCAGCAUUCCAUCAUAGUUGGAGUAGCGUUGCUCUGGAUCAUAAACGUGCUAUUUGAGCAGAUUAUAGAAACUAGCCUGACUUGUUCCUAAAACUGACCCUGACCCAGUCUGAGACCAAUAUCAUCGGCCACAUCACCGACCUGGUUACAUUUAACAUUUGUGAACAGUGGAGGAGUGGGACUAGAAAAGGAGACAGUGACCCAAAAAGCCGGGGAACUAUAGACCGGUGAGCCUGAUGUCGGUGGUGGGUGAGUUGUUGGAGGGGAUUCUGGGGGAUAGCAUUUACAUACAUUUGGGAAGGUAAGGGCUGAUCGGGGUAGACAACGUGGCUUUCUGCAUGGGAAAUCAUGGGACAUUAAUUUGGUUGAGUUUUGUGAAGAGUUGAUACAGAAGAUUGAUGAAGGCAGUUUGGUAGAUAUUGUCAUUAUGGACCUCAGCAAGGUGUUCAUAACAUUCUGAUUGGUAGGCAGAUUAGUAAGGUUCGGUCACAUGGGAUACAGAAGAAGCUCAUCACAAUUGGCUUGAAGGAAGAGGGGUAUUUUUCAGCCUUGAGGCUUGUGAGCAGAAAUUGUACACUUAAUGGUAAGGGCCUGGUGAGUGUUCUGAAACAAAUGGACAUAGGGCUGCAGGUACCUUGUUCCUUGAAAGUGGAGUCGAAUGCAGACAGUGCAGUACAGAACACAUUUUACACAUUUGCCUUAAUCAGUCAGAGCAUUGAGUAUAGGGGUUGUGGUGGCAUGUUGCAUCUGUUCAGGAUGUUGGUGAGGCCACUUUAAGAAUACUGCGUACAACUCGGUUUUCUGCAGAAAAGAUUUACACAGAUGUCCCAGGACUGGAGGUUUGCGCUUUAGGGAGAGGAUGAUUAGUUUGAGGUGUUUCCACCUGGAGUGUCAGAGCUUGAAGGGUAACAUUAUAGAGGUUUAUAUAAUCAUCAGGGACAUAGAUAUUCUGAACAGAUAUGUUCUGCUCCCCAGGGUAGGGGACUCCAGAACAGGAGUGCAUAGUUUGAAGAGGUGAGGACAAAUGACUUAGAAGGGACCUGAAGAUAAAUGUUUCACACAGAGAGUGGUGUGUGUACCGAAAGUGCUGUCAGAGGAAGUGGUGAAGGCAGUUACAAUCGCACAUUUAAAAAGUAUCUGAAAGAGGAGGGAUAUUGGCCAAACGCUGGUAAAUGGGACUGGAUCAGAUGUGAUAUCAGCUCGUUGUGAACAGAUUAGACUAACAGGUCUAUUUCUGUUCUGCAUGACACUGAUUCUAUAAGAGGGAUGACAAAAAAUUCUGAAAGUAAUGUCCAAAUCAGAAUCCUCUUCACUGGAAGUUUAUCAUGCCUCUAUGUUCACAUUGAUUGACAGUUAUGUUAGUGAAAUAUUUGACAGAGAACUGAGUCAUGGAUAAUGGGACGCAGACAGGAAAGUGGGGCUGAGACCACAACCUGAUCAGCCACAAUCUUAGUGCCUGGUGGAGAAGGUUCAACGUAUCUAAUGACUCACUUCUGUCCCUCAAUCCCAUGUUUCUGUGUUCCAUUCAGACCAUUAAACCUGUUAGGCAGGAGCAUUUAGAGGCUACUUACUUCUAUAACCUGGUGCACAGAAACCGAGGAGAUCAUUCGGCCCUUUAAGGGUGUCCCACACGGUUUGAGGUGAUUUGAGAAGUGUACUUAUAAAACCCAAGCUGGGUAUGAAAGAGGCCCCUCAUCUCUCUGUACAGAGCUUCCUCUCUCUGAAACUUGUGCUCUAUUUCUUGGUCAUAUUGUAGACCCAAAUUCACUAUGAAUACAGCCCCCAUACCUCACCCAGCGAUGGCUCACAAAAUCCUCUUGUCUCCCUGACGGCAACAUUCAAUAACAGAACAUUCAUGAAAAUAUCACCCACUAACUUUCCAAUAACAGAACGUGAGAACAUCAGACACUGGGGCAGGUCGUUCACUCCCCAACCCUGCCUUGCCCUUCACUAAGAUCAUGACGGAUCUGUUCUCGGUCUGAAAUCCUCUUUCAAACCCAAUUCCUCAUCGCCCUCAACUCUCUGUCAGGUCAUUAUCCAUCUACCUCCUCUUCAAUUACUUUCAGUCAUCUGGCUCCGCGAACACUGUUGAGAAGAGAAACCCUGACAUUCAAUGCCACCUGUUUGAAGAAACCCCUUGCUGCUCCUAUACCAUGGCCUAUUGAUAUGAACAAAAGAGGUUGACACAAGGGGUGAGGUAAAAAUGAUUGACCCUGAUAUCAAGGCUUCUGUUGACAUCAAGGAGCUGAACAAAUCUGAACUUAAUGGAAUCAGAGAAAACUCUCCAGUGUUUGGAGUCAAACAUGGCACAAAGGAAGAUGUUCAUCAUCUCAGUCCUGGGUCACCUCUGUGGGAGAUCCUCAGGGUAGCUUCCUCUUCACAAACAUCUUCAGCUGCUUCAUCAAUGUCUCCCCACCCUCACUCUCCCCGCCAUAAGAUCAGAAGUGGGGAUGGUCACCUAGGAUUCCACAAUGUUCAGAAUAAUUUGACGCCCCCGUCAGCUCCUGAACUGGACUGCGUCCAUGUGCAGCAAGACAUGGACUCCAUUGAGGCUUGUGCUUUUAAAGAGUCUGUAACAUUCAUAUAAAGGACUGUCUGACACUACACAUUGCCACAGUAAACUAAGAGUUCAUUCCGCACCUUACACUGGUUUCACAGGAAUAUGAGGAGGUCAUUCAACCCAUUGACACUAUUAGAGAAGAACAGGGACAGCCCAUUCAGUGCCUCCAACAUAUUACUCAAGAAGGGAAGGAUUCUAGUGUGAUGGGCCACACCAGAGCCCCUCGACAAUAUUUGAAGGCGGUAGCCUAGACUCUAAUGUUUUCUUAUUUUAAAGAAAAUGUAAAAUGUCUGUUCCAGAUGCAAUGUUACUGGACAAACAACUCGGUGUGAAGCAUAACCCCAUUUGCUUAAAUACGAUAGAUGAAAUAAAACCAAAGAAAGAAGAAUUUAGAAUAAUGUAUUUAUAUUGGACAAGUUAACAGAACAAUAGAUCUAGGAACUAAUACUAAUGAACUGUUCCAAUACUGGAAAAUCACAUGAACACAGCCCUUGGAAAAAAGGAAUAUUCAGACACUGAAUGACACAAAUAUUUCUCCAAUUCAGGAUUUAAAAACAGCACCAAGAGAAAAUUCAUAGAGAGGAGCUGCCAGGAGACAUUCACUAAAACUUUCAACUCGGUGGAGACCCCAAUAAUUUCUGAUGUUACUGAGAAACCGAAACCCAGAAAUCCUAAUCUGUGAAAGCUGACCACACCCAUUCCAUCUGCAUUAAAAUAAACCCAAGGCAUCACUAGUUGUUUAUUCAAGU